ensembl:snRNA U2 U2 spliceosomal RNA
AUCGCUUCUCGGCCUUUUGGCUAAGAUCAAGUGUGGAACAUCAGAUGAGAAAUUCAAAAACUGUACUCAAAUACCAGGUACUUCCGUGAGUAUUAUACAAAUUUCUAAGCCUAACUUUUCUUACGGAUAAAAGGAGAGGCUUCAAUUACAAGAUUUCAAGAUCCUUCCAUUUCUA